GUGGGGAAUAUUGGACAAUGGGCGAAAGCCUGAUCCAGCCAUGCCGCGUGUGUGAAGAAGGUCUUCGGAUUGUAAAGCACUUUAAGUUGGGAGGAAGGGCAGUAAGUUAAUACCUUGCUGUUUUGACGUUACCGACAGAAUAAGCACCGGCUAACUUCGUGCCAGCAGCCGCGGUAAUACGAAGGGUGCAAGCGUUAAUCGGAAUUACUGGGCGUAAAGCGCGCGUAGGUGGUUUUGUAAGUUGGAGGUGAAAUCCACGGGCUCAACCUGGGAACUGCCUCCAAAACUGCAUGACUAGAGUACGGUAGAGGGUAGUGGAAUUUCCUGUGUAGCGGUGAAAUGCGUAGAUAUAGGAAGGAACACCAGUGGCGAAGGCGACUACCUGGACUGAUACUGACACUGAGGUGCGAAAGCGUGGGGAGCAAACAGGAUUAGAAACCCUGGUAGUCC
rnacentral:rRNA from 1 species